rnacentral:rRNA from 1 species
CAUGAUCUCGUCACUCCCGUGACAGUGAAGCGGGGAGAGCUCAAAUUUGAAAUCUGGCGCUUUCGGUGAAGAGAGGGAAUUGGAGAUGUUUUUCGGGGUGAUUUUCUAAAAUAAGUGGGAAACAGGUCAUAAAGGUGCGCACCUCCGAUGUUCUGAUCUCAUUCUUGUGUAUUUUUC